GUGGUAGCACGCCGAAAUGCAAGUUCGGAAAAGUACCCCAGUAGGUACCCCGGCUU
rnacentral:tRNA from 1 species